UCUAGGGACAGGGUGGAUAUCAGGCCAGG
rnacentral:piRNA from 1 species